GCCGGGCGUGGUGGCUCACGCCUGUAAUCCCAACACUUUGGGAGGCCGAGGUGGGUGGAUCACCUGAGGUCAGGAGUUUGAGACCAGCCUGGCCAACAUGGUGAAACCCCGUCUCUA
rnacentral:SRP_RNA from 2 species